UACGUAGGGGGCAAGCGUUGUCCGGAUUUAUUGGGCGUAAAGGGCGUGUAGGCGGUCUGUUAAGUCUGGCGUGAAAGCCCCCGGCUCAACUGGGGAGGGUCAUUCGAUACUGAUCGACUCGAAGGCAGGAGAGGGUAGUGGAAUUCCCGGUGUAGUGGUGAAAUGCGUAGAUAUCGUAAGGAAGACCAGUGGCGAAGGCGGGUCUCUGGACAGUUCCUGACACUGAGGCACGAAGGCCAGGGGAGCAAACGGG
rnacentral:rRNA from 1 species